GGACAUACUGUGACUGUCGCCAUGACUCUGCCUGUCCGACAAUCGCUCUUUCCUCUUCGGCAAAAUUAUUCACUGCCUCUAAUCGAGGCAAACCAUGGAGAAAAUGUUACACUGUCCUUCCCAAUGGAUAAAGCAGAGGAAGCUGAUAGAUUGAGGAUAAUGUUUACAUCAGAAUCUACGAAGAAUUCUUGUGUGAUCGCACAGCACUGUUCCGGUUCUGAAAUCUGUGAUCUUGUGGAAGAACCUGGAGUCAAACUGAUGGUUGAAGGAGGAUUCGUGAAUGUAACAAUUCAGAAAGUGAACAGCUCCAGAUCAGGACUCUAUAAAGCAGAACCUGUUGGAGAGCACAUAGGCAUACCUGAUGUGACUCCUAUUACACUUGUUGUCAAAGAAGCAUACUUUACCUACACUACAGCUCCUCCACACUCCUCCACCCCAAAACCUCCCAACUCCUCUAACCUCCUCUGGCUGUGUGCAUUAUUUCCUGUAUUCUUGUUGGUCGUUUACUUGUGGAAACGCA